CUGCUUGGUUCUUCAGCUCAUAUACUAAAAUUGGAACCAUACAGAGAAGAUUCGCAUGGCCCCUGAGCAAGGAUGACAUGCAAAUAUUUUUUUUUUU
ensembl:snRNA U6 U6 spliceosomal RNA